rnacentral:rRNA from 1 species
UACGUAGGGUGCAAGCGUUGUCCGGAAUUAUUGGGCGUAAAGAGCUCGUAGGCGGUCUGUCGCGUCGGCUGUGAAAACCCGUGGCUCAACCCCGGGCCUGCAGUCGAUACGGGCAGACUAGAGUGCGGUAGGGGAGACUGGAAUUCCUGGUGUAGCGGUGGAAUGCGCAGAUAUCAGGAGGAACACCGAUGGCGAAGGCAGGUCUCUGGGCCAUUACUGACACUGAGAAGCGAAAGCAUGGGGAGCGAACAGG